GUUUGAUCCUGGCUCAGGAUGAACGCUAGCUACAGGCUUAACACAUGCAAGUCGAGGGGCAGCAUGGUCUUAGCUUGCUAAGGCCGAUGGCGACCGGCGCACGGGUGAGUAACACGUAUCCAACCUGCCGUCUACUCUUGGACAGCCUUCUGAAAGGAAGAUUAAUACAAGAUGGCAUCAUGAGUACGCAUGUUCACAUGAUUAAAGGUAUUCCGGUAGACGAUGGGGAUGCGUUCCAUUAGAUAGUAGGCGGGGUAACGGCCCACCUAGUCUUCGAUGGAUAGGGGUUCUGAGAGGAAGGUCCCCCACAUUGGAACUGAGACACGGUCCAAACUCCUACGGGAGGCAGCAGUGAGGAAUAUUGGUCAAUGGACGAGAGUCUGAACCAGCCAAGUAGCGUGAAGGAUGACUGCCCUAUGGGUUGUAAACUUCUUUUAUAAAGGAAUAAAGUCGGGUAUGCAUACCCGUUUGCAUGUACUUUAUGAAUAAGGAUCGGCUAACUCCGUGCCAGCAGCCGCGGUAAUACGGAGGAUCCGAGCGUUAUCCGGAUUUAUUGGGUUUAAAGGGAGCGUAGAUGGAUGUUUAAGUCAGUUGUGAAAGUUUGCGGCUCAACCGUAAAAUUGCAGUUGAUACUGGAUGUCUUGAGUGCAGUUGAGGCAGGCGGAAUUCGUGGUGUAGCGGUGAAAUGCUUAGAUAUCACGAAGAACUCCGAUUGCGAAGGCAGCCUGCUAAGCUGCAACUGACAUUGAGGCUCGAAAGUGUGGGUAUCAAACAGGAUUAGAUACCCUGGUAGUCCACACGGUAAACGAUGAAUACUCGCUGUAGGCGAUAUACAGUCUGCGGCCAAGCGAAAGCAUUAAGUAUUCCACCUGGGGAGUACGCCGGCAACGGUGAAACUCAAAGGAAUUGACGGGGGCCCGCACAAGCGGAGGAACAUGUGGUUUAAUUCGAUGAUACGCGAGGAACCUUACCCGGGCUUAAAUUGCAGAUGAAUUACGGUGAAAGCCGUAAGCCGCAAGGCAUCUGUGAAGGUGCUGCAUGGUUGUCGUCAGCUCGUGCCGUGAGGUGUCGGCUUAAGUGCCAUAACGAGCGCAACCCUUGUUGUCAGUUACUAACAGGUUCCGCUGAGGACUCUGACAAGACUGCCAUCGUAAGAUGUGAGGAAGGUGGGGAUGACGUCAAAUCAGCACGGCCCUUACGUCCGGGGCUACACACGUGUUACAAUGGGGGGUACAGAGGGCCGCUACCACGCGAGUGGAUGCCAAUCCCCAAAACCUCUCUCAGUUCGGACUGGAGUCUGCAACCCGACUCCAUGAAGCUGGAUUCGCUAGUAAUCGCGCAUCAGCCACGGCGCGGUGAAUACGUUCCCGGGCCUUGUACACACCGCCCGUCAAGCCAUGGGAGCCGGGGGUACCUGAAGUGCGUAACCGCGAGGAGCGCCCUAGGGUAAAACUGGUGACUGGGGCUAAGUCGUAACAAGGUAGCCGUACCGGAAGGUGCGGCUG
rnacentral:rRNA from 1 species